GCCGGAGGGAAACCGAGUCUUAACCGGGCGUUAAGUUGCAGGGUAUAGACCCGAAACCCGGUGAUCUAGCCAUGGGCAGGUUGAAGGUUGGGUAACACUAACUGGAGGACCGAACCGACUAAUGUUGAAAAAUUAGCGGAUGACCUGUGGCUGGGGGUGAAAGGCCAAUCAAACCGGGAGAUAGCUGGUUCUCCCCGAAAGCUAUUUAGGUAGCGCCUCGUGAAUUCAUCUCCGGGGGUAGAGCACUGUUUCGGCUAGGGGGCCAUCCCGGCUUACCAACCCGAUGCAAACUGCGAAUACCGGAGAAUGUUAUCACGGGAGACACACGGCGGGUGCUAACGUCCGUCGUGAAGAGGGAAACAACCCAGACCGCCAGCUAAGGUCCCAAAGUCAUGGUUAAGUGGGAAACGAUGUGGGAAGGCCCAGACAGCCAGGAUGUUGGCUUAGAAGCAGCCAUCAUUUAAAGAAAGCGUAAUAGCUCACUGGUCGAGUCGGCCUGCGCGGAAGAUGUAACGGGGCUAAACCAU
rnacentral:rRNA from 2 species